UAGAGUUUGAUCCUGGCUCAGGAUGAACGCUAGCGACAGGCUUAACACAUGCAAGUCGAGGGGCAGCGGGGGCGGAAGCUUGCCAUCGCCUGCCGGCGACCGGCGCACGGGUGAGUAACACGUAUGCAACCUGCCCGCCACAGGGGGAUAAGCGGAAGAAAUUCCGUCUAAUACCGCGUGACGCGGCACCGGGGCAUCCCGGUGCCGCCAAAGGGAUUACCGGUGGCGGAUGGGCAUGCGGCGCAUUAGCUAGUCGGCGGGGUAACGGCCCACCGAGGCGACGAUGCGUAGGGGUUCUGAGAGGAAGGUCCCCCACACUGGUACUGAGACACGGACCAGACUCCUACGGGAGGCAGCAGUGAGGAAUAUUGGUCAAUGGGCGCGAGCCUGAACCAGCCAAGUCGCGUGAGGGAUGACGGUCCUACGGAUUGUAAACCUCUUUUGCCGGGGAGCAAGCGUGCGUUCGUGAACGCGCGUCGAGAGUACCCGGAGAAAAAGCAUCGGCUAACUCCGUGCCAGCAGCCGCGGUAAUACGGAGGAUGCGAGCGUUAUCCGGAUUUAUUGGGUUUAAAGGGUGCGUAGGCGGGAUGCCAAGUCAGCGGUAAAAAAGCGGUGCUCAACGCCGUCGAGCCGUUGAAACUGGCGUUCUUG
rnacentral:rRNA from 1 species